GAAUCUGGCCGACGGAGGGGGAUAACUGCUGGAAACGGCAGCUAAUACCGCAUGAAGUCGUGAGACCAAAGUGGGGGACCUUCGGGCCUCACGCCGUCGGAUGAGCCCAGAUGAGAUUAGCUGGUAGGUAGGGUAAAGGCUUACCUAGGCGACGAUCUCUAGCGGGUCUGAGAGGAUAGCCCGCCACACUGGAACUGAGACACGGUCCAGACUCCUACGGGAGGCAGCAGUGGGGAAUAUUGCACAAUGGGCGAAAGCCUGAUGCAGCCAUGCCACGUGUGUGAAGAAGGCCUUCGGGUUGUAAAGCACUUUCAGCGAGGAGGAAGCGAUAAAUGCCAAUACCAUUUAUUUUUGACGUUACUCGCAGAAGAAGCACCGGCUAACUCCGUGCCAGCAGCCGCGGUAAUACGGAGGGUGCGAGCGUUAAUCGGAAUAACUGGGCGUAAAGGGCAUGUAGGCGGUGAGUUAAGUCAGAUGUGAAAUCCCCGAGCUCAACUUGGGAAUGGCAUUUGAAACUGGGUCGCUAGAGUUUUCUAGAGGGGGGUAGAAUUCCAGGUGUAGCGGUGAAAUGCGUAGAUAUCUGGAGGAAUACCGGUGGCGAAGGCGGCCCCCUGGAGAAAGACUGACGCUGAGGUGCGAAAGCGUGGGGAGCAAACAGGAUUAGAUACCCCUGGUAGUCCCACG
rnacentral:rRNA from 2 species